GGGAGAAAGUCCUGUGGAGGCCUGGGGCACCUAACGCACUGCAAACAGCAGAGGAUCUAGCCACCAACAACAGAGGAUCUAGCCACCUAUCCCAAUUGCGGCCGUCGUGCACAAACUUAAGGAUCAUGGACUUCAAGGUUUUGUUCAGACGCUCGACAAGGCUGUCGGUCUGAGGGUGGUAUACACUAGUCCGAACUGACCUGAUGCCCAAUAAUCCAUACAGUUCCCGGAGUGUGCAUGACAUAAACGAGGUGCCCUGGUCUGUUAGGAUUUCUUUUGGGAUCCCAACUCAGGAGAUGACCUGGAACAGUGCCUGUGCCACACUCUUUGCAGAGGUUGUGCGCAGAGGCACUGCUUCUGGAUAUUGAGUUGCAUAAUCCACCAGGACUAGUACAAAACGAUAUCCACGUGCGCUCCGGUGAAAUGGCCCGAUGUGGUCCAUGCCAAUACGCUCAAAUGGAACGUCAAUAAGUGAUAAUGGACGCAAUGGUGCUCUUGGGAUGGCCAGUUGGUUAACCAACUGACUUUCGGGGAAAGACUCACACCAGCGGCGUACAUCUCCCCGAAUCCCAGGCCAAUAGAAACGGGCCAUUAUCCGGUUUAGUGUUUUUCAUACCCCAUGUGCCCCGCCACUGGGUUAUAAUGAGCCACCUGGAAAACUGUUUCCCGGCAGCUUUCCGGAACAAACAACCUCUGCUGACUGAGUGUCACGACUCACUCUGUAUAGCCUGUCCCUAACCAAUGUGAAAUGUGGAUAUGUCUGUGCUGCAUCAGGUUGCACCAACUGACAAUUUUUAUCACUUGGUCAAAGGCAAAGCGUAGAGUAUCGUCACAAGACUGCUCGAGUGGAAAAUCUUCCAUGGAGUGCAACGAGGGAACCUGUGGAGCCUCUGAUACUCGUUAAAAGUAAAUUAUCUGUUCUCAUGUUAGCCGAGCACUCCCUCAGCCCUAUACUGCACAGCUUUGCACUGAACCGUGCUGCAGCAUUCUUUAAACACAGUUGGUUCCUCCUAGACCGGCUCCACUGGAAGAACCACAUUGACAGGUUCCAGCUUCCAGUCCAACCCUCAGCCCCAGGUUCACACCCACCAGCCCAAGCUUGCCCAGGUCUGCACUCCCUCUCCCCCUCUUUUCAAUAAACACUAGUUUCCUAUUAA